UACGGGGGGGGCAAGCGUUGUUCGGAAUUACUGGGCGUAAAGCGCGUGUAGGCUGCCCCGAAAGUCAGGUGUGAAAGCCCUGGGCUCAACCCAGGAAGUGCACUUGAAACUUCGGGGCUCGAGUUCUGGAGAGGAUAGCGGAAUUCUCGGUGUAGAGGUGAAAUUCGUAGAUAUCUGGAGGAAUACCGGUGGCGAGGGCGGCAUCCUGGACCGGCAUUGACGCUGAGGAGCGAAAGCUAGGGGAGCAAACGGG
rnacentral:rRNA from 1 species